GUCUCAUGCAGUCUAGUGGAUAGGAUUUCUGAUUUUUAUUCAGUUGUCUUGGGUUCGAUUCCCUGUGUAGAUA
rnacentral:tRNA from 1 species